AACGAACGCUGGCGGCAUGCCUAACACAUGCAAGUCGAACGAGACCUUCGGGUCUAGUGGCGCACGGGUGCGUAACGCGUGGGAAUCUGCCCUUGGGUUCGGAAUAACAGUGAGAAAUUACUGCUAAUACCGGAUGAUGUCUUCGGACCAAAGAUUUAUUGCCCAAGGAUGAGCCCGCGUAGGAUUAGCUAGUUGGUGGGGUAAUGGACUACCAAGGCGACGAUCCUUAGCUGGUCUGGGAGGAUGAUCAGCCACACUGGGACUGAGACACGGCCAAGACUCCUACGGGAGGCAGAAGUGGGGAAUAUUGGACAAGGGGAGGAAGCCUGAUCCAGCAAUGCGGGGUGAGUGAUGAAGGCCUUAGGGUUGUAAAGCUCUUUUACCCGGGAUGAUAAUGACAGUACCGGGAGAAUAAGCUCCGGCUAACUCCGUGCCAGCAGCCGCCGUAA
rnacentral:rRNA from 1 species